rnacentral:rRNA from 1 species
ACACGACUACAUUAGAUACCCCCCGUAGUCCAGGGUGUAAACGCUGCGGGCUUGGUGUUGGGGGUCCUUUGAGGGCGCCCAGUGCCGGAGAGAAGUUGUUAAGCCUGCUGCUUGGGGAGUACGUCCGCAAGGAUGAAACUUAAAGGAAUUGGCGGGGAGCACCGCAACGGGAGGAGCGUGCGGUUCAAUUGGAUUCAACGCCGGACAACUCACCAGGAGCGACGGUUACAUGAAGGCCAGGCUGAUGACCUUGCCUGAUUUUCCG